rnacentral:lncRNA from 1 species
CAGGGACAUAGUUAGGAUGUAAAUGUUGUAUCACAUAUAAUCCAUCAACUCCAGCAUUUUGAUUCCUUAUAUACUUCUUUAUAUCUUAUCAUGAUAUUUCUUGAAUUUCAACUUCAUAUUUAAUGUGCCACUAAUGAUUUCCAGAUAAAGCCCAUGAAAUGAAACAGCAGUUAAAAUCACUCUUAAUUUCUCAAGCUAACACAUAUAUUCAUAAAUUUCUGCAAGCCCAAUAUAUUUAUUCUAAUAUACGAUUAUUUCAUUCUCCAUCUAGCCACUUCAAAAUAUCCACACACAAUUCCUAGAUUCCUGAUCCUAAUAAAUUUGGAGAGAGAUUAUGUCUUGUACUUAUGUUGGUAUAUAAACCAUUCUUUAUAAAUUGGGCCUUCUGAUUUCUCUCCUGGAACAUCCUGAAUAUGUCAUCGUUUAUAGAUCUGGUGGAAAUGAAGGAAGAUAGGAAAGGGAUAUUGGGAAAUCUGCAUCCCGAUUGUGUUAGGGUUUGUAGAUAAUUUAAUAAGAUAUAGAUAGACAUAGAUAAAUAGGUAUGUAGAUAUGUAGAAAGAGAUUUAUUAUACAAUACUGGCUGACAGUAUUUUUUUUUUCUUUUUGAGAUGGAGUCUCGCACUGUCACCUGCACUGGAGUGCAGUGGUGUGAUCUCAGCUCACCGCGAGCUCCGCCUCCUGGGUUCAAGUCAUCCUCUCGCUCCAGCCUCCCACGUAGCUGGGACUACAGGUGCCUGCCACGCUAAUUUUUUGUGUUUUUAGUAGAAAUGGGGUUUCACCAUGUAGGCCAAGCUGGUCUCGAACUCCUGACCUCAUGAUUCAUCCACCAUGGCCUCUCAAAGUGCUGGAAUUACAGGUGUGAGUCACCGUGCCCAGUUGCCAUUGAUACUCUUAACAAAGCAUAUCAACUUUCCCAAGUUCUUCUUUGGAGCUGUUUGGUGCUUUAUUUAUCCUGUUAUAUGAGUAUAAUUGUGUGUUAAUAUUUUUUUCUGAUUAAUGAUUGGCGACUUUGUCUCUGAACCUUUAUUUUAGAAGUAUGUACUUAUGAAUCUUUAAAUUUCUAACACCUAGCUAAGUAGCUGUCUUCAUUAUACUUGUGAAAUAAAUGUUAACUGAAUUAGAGAUUGAUUGAACAGAUAGGUAAAUAAAUGAACAUAGAAUUCCUCAGGCUGCCAUCUUAAACAUUUAGUUUUUCAGGUUUGGACAAUAUUUCUCUCUGGGUUUUCCUCCUUUUUCUUAUUUCUUGUAUUCUAUUCUUUGUCUCCUGCUGUCUUCCAACACACUGUAGUGUUUUUGACCAACCUUGGAUUAUCUUAUUUUCUACAUAUUCAGGUUCUGUAUUUAUAAAGUCCUUGUUUAUAUUUAUUCAUUAAUUUUAAGAGGAUUAUGAACUUUUCAAAGAUAAUUGUCAUUUAUGUUAGUACUUUGAAUUUUUUCCAGUGCCUAGUAUUGAGGUAGAGGCCAAAUUUAAUCUACCAUUGAUUUUAAUGAAGCCAUAUAUGUGCCUUGGAGCAGUGUCUAUUCAUCUAGGGUGAAGAAUCAAAAUCCAUCUUGUAAAUUUUCUCUAAGGAAAGGCAAGCGUGGAGCUACAGUGUCUUCAAUCUGUUUGGGAAAUGCUAGGCGUAUAUGAUACUAUUGCUCGCACAGCAUAGUGCACAAGUGAAUUUUAGUGUUUGCUAGACAACGUGUGCUUAGCGGAUGGAUCACAUGGAAAUGAGGACAAGUGGCAUCUAGGAGCCGAGGGCUGCAGCUGUCAACAAGAAAAUGAAGUCCUUUAUCCUGCAACUAUAAAGAAAUGAACUCUCCCAACAAUCUGAAGGAGUUUCCAAUGAGAUUCUUCCCCCAACCCUCCAGAUGAGAACUCAGUCUAGCUGAUACCUCAAGAUGGCAACAUAGUCUGCUUUGUAGUAACAUGAGGAGAGAACCUAGUCACAUCAGCCUGGGUUUCUAGUAGCAGUUUAUUAUAUAUUUGAUUAUUUUAAAUUAUUCUAGAUUCUUUGGGAAUUGUCUCCAUAUAUGUAGUGUGUGUGUGGGUGUGUGUACCCUAUUUUUGGAAACCUUAAUAUAUUCAUAAAUCUUUUUCUGUAACUUGAUUUAAUUAUGUUCAUAAUAUAUGCUGUGUAUUAUGCCUUCUCAGCUCACGUAAACUCUAUGUAGAGAAACAGUGUUGUGUAAUGGUUAACAGUGUAGCAAACGUAGCCAGACAGCCUGAUUCAAGUCUCAGCUCUGACACCUCCAUGCUGUGCAACUUUGGGCAGUUCAUUUUUCUAGCAUUGAUUUUCCCUUCUGAAGCAUAGAGGCAAUAAGAUUGUUGUGAGAAUUCAAUGAGUCAAGACCUUUGCAAACACCAAGAAUAAUUCCUGCCAUACAGCAGGCUCUCAGAAAUGUUAGCAAAUAGCCUUAUUUCUUUUAAAUUUCAAACUGUACAAACAACAUGCAAAUACAUUCUCCUGUUAUAAGAAAGGAAAAUUGACACAUAAACAUAUAAAAUAUGAAAUCACUGUCUUUAUUCUACUCAUAAUCAUAUUCUCUUACCUGCCUCAGUAGCAUAAUUUAUGAAUUUUUAUAGCUUUAAAGUUUGCUAUGUUGCACCAUAUAAAAGUAUUUCCUAUGUAUUUGACAUUUUUGCAUAUUUUUAUAUAUUUCUAUGAUGACAUUCUUCAAUGUGUGUAAUCAGCUCGCCAAAUUCUAUCAGAUAUGCCAUGUGAAGGUUUUAAAAUUUCAUUUAAUUAUCAGAUUAAUUUGAGGAGUAUAGUCAUUUUAAUAGUAAUGGUUUUACAUUGAUUUUAAUUUUUACACAAUAGACAUAUUGAGAGAUACUUAAAGGAUAAAAAAAGUAAGCAAAAGUAAUUGUUGAUGAGCUAAUAAUUGACAUUUUCAAAUGCCUUCAAACUAGAACUAGCAAAUAAUUCAUAAUGAUAUUGUAGUCAUUUCUUUUAGUUACUAAGAAAUCCAUGUGAUAUAUAUGUUUUAAAAUCAACAUCUUCAUCUUGAAUUACAAUUAUAAGGCAAUUGGGAAACUAGUGUUAGAAACCUAUGGUAUGUUUAUCUCUAAUUAGAAAAAGAAAAACACCAUUACAACAAUUGUUUUCAUUAAUUAAAUUUUAGAAUGACUAAACUUCAAUAUGUUGAUUUUAGAACAACAAAUAAAAAUAAUGGAAAACAUAAAAUAUUAUACAGGAUUUCCACUAGAAUUUUAAUUAUUGUGAUUAUAUAAUGUGCCUGUUAUUUGGCUAGAGUUUAAGCAAAAACAAAAUCUUCAAUUUGAAAUCCUUUAAAUUUAGCAUUCCCUUGGUUAGAAAAUUUUCCAAUUGAUUAAGAUAAGUUUUAGUCUCCUAUUUAAGAAAAUUGCUCUUUUAAUAUGUCUUUAUCUUCCCAUUUGUAUUCAUCACAACAAAGCAAGGAAGAUUGUUCAGUGUGAAAUAAACACUAUUAGCACUCAUACAGUUUAACAAAGAAUAAGCUGUAAGUUACACAUACACCUAUGUCUGAUACUAGUACUAACAAGUGGUGCUGUGAACUUUGGCAAGCUGACAGGCUUCUUGUGAACAAUUUCAGGCAAUUGAAAGGAUAAUGGUACAGCUGAUAGCUUGACUUUCAGUAAUACAAACAAUGACUGGACCAUGAAGAGCACCACAUAGAAGUUAAUACAUGCAAAAUCCCCAGCAUAUAGUAAGCACUCAGUAAGAAUUAGCUGGCCAGGUUUGGUGAGUCACGCCUGUAAUCCCAGGAUGUUGGGAGGCCGAGGCGGGUGGAUAACCUGAGGUCAGAAGUUCAAGAUGAGGCAGGCCAAGAUGGUGAAAGCCCAUCUCUACUAAAAACUACAAAAAUUAACCGGGUGAGGUGGCAGGUGCCUGUAAUCCCAGCUACUCGGGAGGCUGAGGCAGGAGAAUCGCUUGAACCCAGGGGGCGGAGGUUGCAGUGGGCCAAGAUCACACCACUGCACUCCAGGCUGGGCGACAAGAGCGAAACUCCAUCUCAAAAAAAAAAAAAAAAAAAAAAAAAGAGCCGGCAUUAGUUGCAAACAUUAGCAAUCCCUGAAAAGCAUGGGCCCAACCUGGAGGUAACUAGAAGAUUGAAUGCGAUUUUAUUCUUGAUAAAAAGAAGCAAACAGUUUAAAGUAUAGUUAUAAAAUAAUAAACCACCAGUCAACAUCAACAGAACAACCCAAAUUAUUUUCAUUUCUUUUUGAAUGCUUGAUCUUUAUAUUUUGAUAAAAAAUUAACAUUUUACAAAUUUAGUUGAUUGAUAAUAAAUGCUAACACCAGUGAAAAAUAUGCUUAUGUAUUAUAACACAUCAAUUUGAAACCUCAACUGACUCUACUACUGUAUGUUAAAUUAUAGUCCAAACAAUUUUUGGGAAAGCCUGUCCCUGCUAAUUGUACCUGUCAAGCAACCAUUAAGUAAAUAAUGUGAUCUUCUAACUAAGGAGCUGUCUCAAACUUUUCUAUCAGUCUAAGGGGCAGGUACAUUGUGUAUACCUUUUAUUUACCAUUUGCUAAAUAACAACAAAAAAGAAAUAAAUAAAUAAAGUCCAAGCCCAGAUAAUAAAGCACAUGGGUCUGUACGUAACUAUCAAUACAGACUAUUAGCUCUUUAUUUACUUUUUAAGGCAAGGUCAAGAGGAGAAAAUAGAAAAUGUUAAUAUAUUUUCACUGGGCACAGUGGCUCAUUCCUGUAAUCCCAAUGCGUUGGGAGGCCGGUGCGAGCAGACCGCUUGAGCCCAGUAGUUCGAGAUUAGCCUGGGCCACAUGGUGAAAACGUAUCUCUACAAAAAAUACAAAUAUAUAUAUACACAUAGACAAAUUAGCCAGGCAUGUUGGUGCAUGCCUGUAGUCCCAGCUACACUGGAGGCUGAGGUGGGAGGAUUACUUGACCUGGAGAGGAGAAGGUUACACUAAGCUCUGAUUGCACCACUCCAGCCUGGCCAACAGAGUGAGACUUCGUCUCAAAAUAAAUAAAUAAAUUUUAUUUUGUUUUCAAUGUGACACUUUAUCUUCCAGUUCCUCUCAAAGUUCAGCUGUACCUUGUCCUUUGAAAUCAGUGAUUUUCAAAUUCCAUCAUUACUUUAGCAUAGCAUAUAAAUUUUCAAUCAGAGAUUAAUAGAAAAAUCUUAAUUAUUAAAAAACAAUUCCUAUCAACAUAAAAUACUGAAUGUGAAAGCACUAAGAAAAAUUUCUCUACAUUAUUCAUUUCUGUUUUAUUUCAAUUUAACUUUUAAUGAUGGAUUUUCAAAGGGGAAUUAAACAUCCAUAUUGAUAUUCUUAAAAUUUUUCCAUAGACAUGAUUUUGUUUCAGACACAUAAAAUUUGAUAAAUGAAAUAAGAUAACAUCGUAAAUAUGCUAAGAAAAAAGAAGUCACCUUGGGAAUACAGUGAUUUGCAUUCUACCAUAAAUAUACUCCCAAAUACUCAAAGAGUUUAACUUUCAAAUACAUUGCAAAACACAGAAAUCUGUAUACUCAUUCUAAUAUUUAAUACCAAUCUUAAGAAAUGAGAUAAGGCAAAAACCCAUCUCUGCAAAAAAUACAAAAAAAAUAAUCUGGGUGUGGUAAUGAACACUUAUAAUUUCAGCUACAGGGAGACUGAGCUGGGAGGAUUGCUUGAGCCAAGGAAGUCAAGUCUGCAGUCAACAGUGAUUGUGCCAGUGCACGCCAGCCUGGGUGACAGAACAAGAUCCUGUCUCUCUCCAUAUAUAUAUAUAUGUAUGUAUGUAUAUAUGUAUAUAUAUGUAUGUAUGUAUAUAUAUGUAUAUGUAAAGGAAUUUUAUACAUAUAAAUGCACAUAUAUGCAUAAAGGAAUUUUAUACUUAUCUUUUCAAUUGAAAUAUAACAUCUAUAUAUUAAAAUGAAUAAAUAGUAAGCAUCAAAUACUACUUGUACUUUUAAAAAGAAUAUUGUGGAAGUAUCAACUAUAUCAAGAUGUAAAAUAUUACGCCUCCAGAAUCUUCCCUUAUGCCUCUACUCAGUCACUGGGCCUCUCAGAAAUGUAAUCAGUAUUCUGGCAUCUAACACCAUAAUAGACUCUGCUUGUUUUUGAAUGUCAUCAGUGCGCAAUAUUCUAUUUGUAAAUUUUUUAACGAAUCAAGAUCUAUGAGGUUUAUCUGUGUUGUACGUAGUCGCAGGUUGUUAUUUCUUAUUGCUGUAUAGUAUUCAAUUGUGAGAAUAAUUAGAAUUUAUGUAUCCAUCCCACUUUGUCAUUUUAGUGUUGUGGUAAUUUUGAUCAUUUAUACUUUAGGUGCCAUGAAUAUUGCUUCUUUAAAUAUUCUUAUCUUUGGUGACAUAUAUCAAGAUUUUUCUGGGUAUAUAUCUAGGAAUUCAAUUGAUGAGUCAUAAGUAUACAUAUGUUGGUGGAUACUACUAAAGAAUUUCAAAGUGGUUGUAAAAAUGUAUGCUUUCACCAGAAGUAUAUGAGAGUUUCUGUUACUGUAUAUUCCUACUAACACUUGGUAUUUCAUUUUUAUUUAAUUUUAGCCAUUCAAAUAUUGUUACAAUAAUAUUUCAUUGUGACUUUGUGUUGAGUAAAUACGUUGAGCAUAUUUUCUGAAGGUUAAUUUUAGAUAACAUCUAAAAAAUGACUGUGCAAUUCAUUUAUUCCUUUUGAUCUUUGAUAGUCUAUAUUUUCAUUAUUGAUUUAUAGUUAUUCUUUAUGUUUAUAUGUCUUCUUUUGGUUAUUUGUACUGCAAAUAUCUUGUCCUAGUCUUUGGAUUUCCACUUAUUCUUUGGAAAUUGUCUUUUGAUGAACAGAUUUUUUAAAAUUUUAAUAAAGUCUAA